CAGGGAGACAACAAAAUGUUUAAUAUUAUUAUUUUGUCACCUUAGGUCGAUCGGUAUCUCACGUUUUUAAUUUAUUAAGAAUUUCAUUUCCUAAGUUUUUCUAGGUCACACCCAUUAUUUUUCCUGGGCCAUUAGCUCAGGUGGUUAGAGCGCACCCCUGAUAAGGGUGAGGUCCCUGGUUCAAGUCCAGGAUGGCCCAUAUCUCUAUGUUGGGGGUAUAGCUCAGUUGGUAGAGCGCCUGCUUUGCAAGCAGGAUGUCAGCGGUUCGAGUCCGCUUACCUCCACUGAUUACCACCUCUUCCAUAACCGGUAGAAAGGAAAUGUUUUGAGUUGUGAUCAAAUUCUGAAAGAAUCUAGCUUCCUAAUGAAAUCAUUAAGAUGCUGGACUCAUUGAAUUAAUUUCAUUGUUUUCAGAGAACCUUGACAACUGCAUAGAUUAUUUUUAAAGACAAUAAGCAUCUUUAAUGAUGCAGACUUAUUAUUUGUGCGAAUGCAUUAAUAACAAUUCUAUUAAGCUGAUGCUUCAAUUUUUGAAGUUAUU
rnacentral:tRNA from 1 species